AGAGUUUGAUCCUGGCUCAGGAUGAACGCUGGCGACGUGGAUAAGGCAUGCAAGUCGAGUGGGUUUAGACCCACGGCAAACGGGUUAGUAAUACAUAGGAACGUACCCCUAAGUCGUGAAUAACUUGGAGAAAUCCAGGAUAAUACACGAUAAUCUCUACGGAGUAAUGUCCCGACGCAAGUCGGGACGCUUAGGGAGCGGCCUGUGUCCUAUCAGCUAGUUGGUGAGGUAAUGGCUCACCAAGGCUAUGACGGGUAGGGGGCGUGAGAGCGUGAUCCCCAACAUUGGAACUGAGACACUGUCCAAACACCUACGGGUGGCUGCAGUCGAGAAUAUUCCACAAUGGGCGAAAGCCUGAUGGAGCGACGUCGCGUGCGGGAUGAAGGCCCUUGGGUCGUAAACCGCUUUUCUAAAGGAAGAAAUUGUGUCUCACUGUUAUUUGGUGUAACAAUUUUUAAAUUUUUAAUUUUAUAAUUUUGUAAAUAAAUCUUAAUUUUUGAAUUUUUAAACAUUAAGACAUUAAAAAUUAUUUAAAAAUUAAAAAUUUUAAGGCGGAAUUCCUCUUUUUCGGGAAUGACUGACACAAAAUAAUAGUGAGGCACGAUUUGACGGUACUUUAGGAAUAAGAGGUUGCUAACUCUGUGCCAGCAGCAGCGGUAAUACAGAGACCUCAAGCGUUAUCCGGAUUUAUUGGGCGUAAAGAGCAUGUAGGCGGAUAUAUUAGUCAGAUGUCAAAUCUCCGAGCUCAACUCGGAAACUGCAUUUGAAACGGUAUAUCUAGAGGAAGUGAGAGAUCGAUGGAACGUAUGGUGUAGCAGUGAAAUGCGUUGAUAUCAUACGGAACACCAAAGGCGAAGGCAUUCGAUUGGCACUUUUCUGACGCUGAGAUGCGAAAGCGUGGGUAGCGAAUGGGAUUAGAUAAAUCCCGCCACCGCAUUAUAAUAGUGGCAAAGGGUGUCCCUCUUGAAAGUGAUUUUAAGAUGAGCAUUCAGCUGUAUCGGGGAAACUCUGAACUUAAAAAUGGAAAUACUACUGUUUCCUGUUUAGACAAUCCCGAGGGAAGUCGCCUCGUCGGCGACCCCGUAGAGACUAUGAAGUUGAUGUAAGAUAGUUGGUGCAAAAUUAAAUUGAAAACUAUGACUAAAAAAAUUUUUGUGCCUUUGUCAAAUCGAGCAAAAGAAAUUAUCUUAGGCUCGAUUCUGGGCGAUGGAUCACUCAAGAUUCAUAAGCCCUAUAGAAAUGCAAGAUUUUCUUUUCGGCAUUCCGCCGUUCAAAAAUCUUAUUUUGAUUGGAAAAAAAACCA
rnacentral:rRNA from 1 species